AUUGAACGCUGGCGGCAGGCCUAACACAUGCAAGUCGAACGAGUGGCGGACGGGUGAGUACUGUCUGGGAAACUGCCCGAUGGAGGGGGAUAACUACUGGAAACGUUAGCUCAUACCGACUACCAUCGGAUAUGCCCAGCUGGGAUUAGCUUGUAGGUGAGGGAACGGCUCACCUAGACGACGAUCCCUAUCUGGGCUGAGAGGAUGACCAGCCACACGGGAACGUAGACACGGUCCAGACGCCGACGGGAGGCAGCAGUGGGGAAUAUUGCACAAUUGGCGCAAGCCUGAUGCAGCCAUGCCGCGUGUAUGAAGAAGGCCUUCGGGUUGUAAAGUACUUUCAGCGGGGAGGCGUUACCCGCAGAAGAAGCACCGGCUAACUCCGUGCCAGCAGCCGCGGUAAUUC
rnacentral:rRNA from 1 species